UAAUAUUAAAGGCUGAGGUUAGUAUUUUUAAAUAUGGGGAUCAUAUAACUGAAACAGGGUUGGGGGGUAGCUACUGUGAACAGAACAUGUUCUGUAGGACGUGUAUCAAAUGCAACAACACAUUGUCUGUUUUCAGCUUCUCAAAUGUGAGGAUCUGCUUCUUUUCUACCUUUUAAAUUGAAUAUAUUUGGGUUUUGGGCUCCUUAUUUUUUGUCACAUCUGUGGAGCUUUCUAUGUAUAUGGAUCAUGGGAUCGAACGUUUGUGGACUACAUUUCCCAAGAGCACUUGCAACAAUAUGCACAGGUGAACUCACUAACUUACAUGUUUUGAUGUUUUGAGUUCUCCUUUCACUAAACAUUUGCCCUGGUGAAGGUCUGUUCACCGUCUUCCUUUCUACAUCAGUCGCUGCAGAGCUGUGUUACACCGCCCUCUGCAGGCGGCUGGAGGUCACUACACUACAAGUGAGUGGAGGGUGCAAUGAUACAGCGCGGCCGGUAGGAUGCGCACUAAUAUAAAUCUGUGAGGGCAGCGUCUACCAACUCCCAUCAAGCUUAACCAUUAAAGGAAAAGGUUGUAUCCCUACGCCGUGUAAACUCAAUUGGAUAUGGGCUGGUCCAACAAUCUAUAAAUUUUUAUGUUUAUAUGAUAUUAUGGUAUGUUUAUGUGUCUGUUAUAGACUGACUAAUCAGUCUUUUUACCUCUGUAGUUUGUUCUCCUUGCUUUGAAUGUUUUAUAAGCACUUUGCUAAAAUCACGUUUCGUUGCUGUGCAACCAACGGCCCUCUGGGGGCAAAAUAAGUGAACACUGACUGAUUGAUAACAACAGUAUGUGAGUGCACUCUUUUGAAGCAUAUUGGUGUAAAGUGUUAUUCUGCUCAGAGCCCACUGUAUCAAAAUUGCUGAAGAAAGUAGUCAGAGCAGCUUUUAACUGAACAAACAAAAUCAGGCUUUACACAUUUAUAAAUCUGUUCCUGCAGUUUUGCAGAUUGAUAACAGCUUGAAUGUAUUUUGCAUUCAUGUUUGCUUACUAGUGUUUCUAAUUAAUAAAUCUCCCCAGACAAAUGUGGAUGGCACAGAGAGAGAACGCAGUUUAUCGGGCGUGUGCGGUCCUGCACACUCAUCCAGAAUAUCAAUACGUCUGCAUGAUCAGACUGCAGCAGCAUGCAUCUUUGUCAGUGAAGCUGUGUAUGAAUUCAUGUCUAU